rnacentral:rRNA from 1 species
GAUGAACGCUGGCGGCGUGCCUAAUACAUGCAAGUCGAACGCUGGAGAUCUAGCUUGCUAGAUCGAAGGAGUGGCGAACGGGUGAGUAAUACAUAAGCAACCUACCCACGAAGACUGGGAUACUCUCUGGAAACGGGGACUAAUACCGGAUAGGUAAUCGGAAGGCAUCUUCUGGUUAUUAAAGGUUAUAAACACUGGUGGAUGGGCUUAUGGCGCAUUAGUUAGUUGGUGAGGUAACGGCCCACCAAGACGAUGAUGCGUAGCCGGCCUGAGAGGGUGAACGGCCACAUUGGGACUGAGACACGGCCCAGACUCCUACGGGAGGCAGCAGUAGGUAAUUUUCGGCAAUGGGGGCAACCCUGACCGAGCAACGCCGCGUGAGUGAAGACGGCCUUCGGGUUGUAAAGCUCUGUUGUAAGGGAAGAACGGUAGAUAGAGAAUAUCUAAGUGACGGUACCUUACCAGAAAGCCACGGCUAACUACGUG